GUCGAACGGUGAAGCCCAGCUUGCUGGGUGGAUCAGUGGCGAACGGGUGAGUAACACGUGAGCAACCUGCCCCUGACUCUGGGAUAAGCGCUGGAAACGGCGUCUAAUACUGGAUACGAGACGUGACCGCAUGGUCAACGUUUGGAAAGAUUUUUCGGUUGGGGAUGGGCUCGCGGCCUAUCAGCUUGUUGGUGAGGUAAUGGCUCACCAAGGCGUCGACGGGUAGCCGGCCUGAGAGGGUGACCGGCCACACUGGGACUGAGACACGGCCCAGACUCCUACGGGAGGCAGCAGUGGGGAAUAUUGCACAAUGGGCGGAAGCCUGAUGCAGCAACGCCGCGUGAGGGAUGACGGCCUUCGGGUUGUAAACCUCUUUUAGCAGGGAAGAAGCGAAAGUGACGGUACCUGCAGAAAAAGCGCCGGCUAACUACGUGCCAGCAGCCGCGGUAAUACGUAGGGCGCAAGCGUUAUCCGGAAUUAUUGGGCGUAAAGAGCUCGUAGGCGGUUUGUCGCGUCUGCUGUGAAAUCUGGGGGCUCAACCCCCAGCCUGCAGUGGGUACGGGCAGACUAGAGUGCGGUAGGGGAGAUUGGAAUUCCUGGUGUAGCGGUGGAAUGCGCAGAUAUCAGGAGGAACACCGAUGGCGAAGGCAGAUCUCUGGGCCGUAACUGACGCUGAGGAGCGAAAGGGUGGGGAGCAAACAGGCUUAGAUACCCUGGUAGUCCACCCCGUAAACGUUGGGAACUAGUUGUGGGGUCCAUUCCACGGAUUCCGUGACGCAGCUAACGCAUUAAGUUCCCCGCCUGGGGAGUACGGCCGCAAGGCUAAAACUCAAAGGAAUUGACGGGGACCCGCACAAGCGGCGGAGCAUGCGGAUUAAUUCGAUGCAACGCGAAGAACCUUACCAAGGCUUGACAUAUACGAGAACGGGCCAGAAAUGGUCAACUCUUUGGACACUCGUAAACAGGUGGUGCAUGGUUGUCGUCAGCUCGUGUCGUGAGAUGUUGGGUUAAGUCCCGCAACGAGCGCAACCCUCGUUCUAUGUUGCCAGCACGUAAUGGUGGGAACUCAUGGGAUACUGCCGGGGUCAACUCGGAGGAAGGUGGGGAUGACGUCAAAUCAUCAUGCCCCUUAUGUCUUGGGCUUCACGCAUGCUACAAUGGCCGGUACAAAGGGCUGCAAUACCGCGAGGUGGAGCGAAUCCCAAAAAGCCGGUCCCAGUUCGGAUUGAGGUCUGCAACUCGACCUCAUGAAGUCGGAGUCGCUAGUAAUCGCAGAUCAGCAACGCUGCGGUGAAUACGUUCCCGGGUCUUGUACACACCGCCCGUCAAGUCAUGAAAGUCGGUAACACCUGAAGCCGGUGGCCUAACCCUUGUGGAGGGAGCCGU
rnacentral:rRNA from 1 species